CAGGGCGUGGCUAAAUAGUAAAGCAUCUCCCUUACACCGAGAAGACGCCCGUGCAAAUCGGGCCGCCCUGA
rnacentral:tRNA from 1 species